rnacentral:rRNA from 1 species
GUCUAUGGCCAUGCCACCCUGAACGUGCCUGAUCUCGUCUGAUCUUGAAAGCUAAGCAGGGUCGGGCCUGGUUAGUACUUGGAUGGGAGACCACCUUGGAAUACCAGGUGCUGUAGGUG